UAGAUAGAUUAUUGUAUUCGACUGUAUUCACGGCGUGAAACAGGGGAUUACACUAUUUUUAAACGAAAAGUGAAUCAAUUAACAUAAUAGACUCCU
rnacentral:pre_miRNA from 1 species